rfam:Picea glauca, whole genome shotgun sequence.
UCUUAUGUACAUGCCUACAACGUUAAUGCAAUGGAUCCCAUUAGAACUCCACAAUUAAGCGUGCUUGGGAUAGAAUAGUUGUGGGGUGGGUGACCUCCUGGGAAGUCAUUGUGUCUUACAU